AACCAGACUCCUACGGGAGGCAGCAGUGAGGAAUAUUGGUCAAUGGGCGGGAGCCUGAACCAGCCAAGCCGCGUGAGGGAAGAAGGUACAGCGUAUCGUAAACCUCUUUUGUCAGGGAACAAAGGCGGGGACUAGUCCCCGGAUGAGGGUACCUGAAGAAAAAGCAUCGGCUAACUCCGUGCCAGCAGCCGCGGUAAUACGGAGGAUGCGAGCGUUACGCGGAUUUAUUGGGUUUAAAGGGGGCGCAGGCGGCCGGUAAAGUAGGGGGUAAAACCCCGGGGCUCAACCAGGGAGAGCCGUUGAAACUGGCGGGCUGGAGUUGGAGAGAAGUGCGCGGAAUGCGCGGUGUAGCGGUGAAAUGCUUA
rnacentral:rRNA from 1 species